GUCUUGUGAUUGGUCUAGAAGAGCUGCUGGCCCUCUAGAGAGACACCAGCACUGAUUGCAUAGGCCUGACUCAGCUUUUCCUCCUUCUCUGUCCGUGCUUUGCUGGCAAGCUUACUAACAUUGAGUGCAGCUAGGGGAGGAGGGGUUUCUGUUCGGUCAUUAAUUAUUUCCACUUCGGAAACAUACUGUAAGUUUAUGAGCAAGAUGUCUGCAUGGUUGGGCUUUCCAUUGGAAGAGGGACAUUUUAAAGCCAGCAUUUUGGAUUGGUGGUCAAAGGCUACCACCUCGCCCUGCAGCCGCUGCUCCUGGCACGCCCCGCUCCACACCUGGCUCCCAACGCUAUAUACUCGCCGGGAGGAGCCGCCAUCUUGGGAGUGCAGCCGCGGCCGCCCGGCGGCGGCGGCGGCGGCAGCAGCGGGCGAAAGCCGGGCCCCCAGUGAGCGCCGCGCCGCGCCGCCAUUUUGUGGAUUUUUAUCUCAGUUCCAUCACUUUGAACAGUUGGGAUCAACUCAACAAUAUUUAAAGUGGGCUUUGCAGAGCAUCUUGUGGACAAAGUACAAGGGGAAGGAGCCAGACCCUCCCCAUGGCCAUGCUUUCUCUGAAACAGCCCUGAUGACGUACUUUUUCAUGCUGAGGUCUGAGAUUAGACCCCGACCUAGACUGGGAUUGCCUCCUUUUCUCUCAAAUGUUAGGAGGAGGCAUAACACAGUAACUCAAAGGAAGACAAGCACUCCUAAGCAAGACAACACUAGUAAGUAUACUCGAGCAUCAUUCUUCCUAGAAACUGAAGUCACUUCCUUUGGAUGUUUGUCACCAUCGUCAUUGAAAAUUUGUUCUCUGACCCCAGAGCAACACAUCCAGAACAGAAUCAGACAAUAUAGAUAUACUUAUGUAGUUAAGAAUAAAUGA
rnacentral:lncRNA from 1 species